UGUUUGAUAAGCUGACAUGGGACA
rnacentral:miRNA from 10 species